rnacentral:rRNA from 1 species
UACAGAGGUCUCAAGCGUUGUUCGGAUUUAUUGGGCGUAAAGGGCGCGUAGGCGGCGGGGUAAGUCGGGUGUGAAAUCUCAGGGCUCAACCCUGAAACUGCACUUGAUACUGCUCUGCUUGAGGACUGGAGAGGAGACUGGAAUUCACGGUGUAGCAGUGAAAUGCGCAGAUAUCAGGAGGAACACCGGUGGCGAAGGCGGGUCUCUGGGCCGAUACUGACGCUGAGGAGCGAAAGCGUGGGGAGCGAACAGG